rnacentral:rRNA from 1 species
CAGUCGCCACGGUAAUACGAAGGGUGCAAGCGUUACUCGGAAUCACUGGGCGUAAAGCGUGCGUAGGUGGUUGUUUAAGUCUGCUGUGAAAGCCCUGGGCUCAACCUGGGAAUUGCAGUGGAUACUGGGCAACUAGAGUAAGGUAGAGGAUAGUGGAAUUUCCGGUGUAGCAGUGAAAUGCGUAGAGAUCGGAAGGAACAUCUGUGGCGAAGGCGACUAUCUGGGCCAUUACUGACACUGAGGUACGAAAGCGUGGGGAGCAAACAGGAUUAGAUACCCGUGUAGUCCCUGUCUCUUAUAC